rnacentral:lncRNA from 1 species
CUGCGCUGCAGCAGGGCCACGUACUGGGCCCUCACGUGGGUGGGGAUGACCAGCUCCUCCAUGUCGGCACUGGGAGCAGCUGGCAGGGCUGGCCCUGGGCAAUGAGGGGCUUAGCACCCGGGCCAGCGGCUGCGGAGGGUGUACUGGGUCCCCCAGCAGUGCCAGCCCACCGGCGCUGUGCUUGAUUUCUCACCCGGCCUUAAUCUACGUUGAAGGGUUGUAGUGUGAAGCAAAUGAGAUAAGGCAUUUGAGCAGUGUUUUAUUCAGACUGUGUGUUGGAGGAGGCUUGGGAGGGUCUGAGGGAGAUUAUGAGGGGAAGUCGGCAGCGAAACUUCCCCACCUAAGCCAGCCCUGGGCACUGCCUCUCAGUAGGAGAGGAUUUAUUUAUCGCUCUGUGGCAUGGAAAUGCUAUUUCUUCUUAACAGCCUUCUCAUUUGGUCUCCAUGUUUUGCCUGGGUUGGGAGAUAGCUUUUAAAACCCAGGGCUCAAUUCACCUCCCCAGUGACCUCGCCUCACUCCACCAGAUGGAAUGCCACACCUCCAUCCAC